rnacentral:rRNA from 1 species
UAGGGAAUCUUCGGCAAUGGGGGGAACCCUGACCGAGCAACGCCGCGUGAGUGAAGAAGGUUUUCGGAUCGUAAAGCUCUGUUGUUAAGGAAGAACGAGUGUGAGAAUGGAAAGUUCAUACUGUGACGGUACUUAACCAGAAAGGGACGGCUAACUACGUGCCAGCAGCCGCGGUAAUACGUAGGUCCCGAGCGUUGUCCGGAUUUAUUGGGCGUAAAGCGAGCGCAGGCGGUUAGAUAAGUCUGAAGUUAAAGGCAGUGGCUCAACCAUUGUAGGCUUUGGAAACUGUUUAACUUGAGUGCAGAAGGGGAGAGUGGAAUUCCAUGUGUAGCGGUGGAAUGCGUUACUAUAUGGAGGAACACCGGUGGCGAAAGCGGCUCUCUGGUCUGUAGCUGACGCUGAAGCUCGAAAGCGUGGGGAACGAACAGG